AUAUUUGGUACAUGGUUGGAAGAAUAGGUACUUCUUUGUCUCCUUAGACCAGCCUUGGUGUUUUAGGACCACUUGGGUUCAACCUAGGUUAGGACCAAACUCUAGUGGAGAUCUGCUCAAAGAGGACUUGGAAGACUAUCAGAAACUAGUUGGGAUCCAUAUCCCUUAGUUCAAGAAUCUUUUGAUCGAGCAGGGUCUACAUGAUGCAGGCAUCAUC
rnacentral:lncRNA from 1 species